rnacentral:lncRNA from 1 species
AACAGAGUAGUUAAUAGGCCGAGAGGGGUCGAGUUACCGGAACCCAAUGUGCGGUAGUAGCUAGUCUUGGAACACCAACACAAGAUCUCAGGUCCUAAAUGCGGCGACAAUGAGACAACCCACCAUGUACUCCUACAUGGCCUCUCAUCGCUACCUUUACCAAAACAGUUUCACAUCUUUAACUCUCAUCUAUAGGACAUGAUCAUUCCAAUACAUCAUUCUGAUGUUCGGACCAAACUCAACCUAAGCAUAGCAAGCAUAACAGGGUAAAGCACAUAUGACUCAAGCAUCUACCAGGUAUGCUAGGUUGCAUUGGUUUAGCUAUUUACUGUGAUCAAAAUCAGGUCAUGCAAAGGAAUAGGUGCAACUAUCGUAAUACAACUAUCAAUUGAAUCAUUUUGUCCUAAUGCAUAGAAAUGAGAGGAGGAGCGAGAGAAUAGGAUUUUGUCGGAAUGUUCAAAGGGGUUUUGCUUGCCUGUUGAUCGGAAGAACUCAGCUAUUCUUCGAUGCUGGUGAUAAC